rnacentral:tRNA from 1 species
GGAGAAAUACUCAAGUGGUGAAGAGGCUCCCCUGCUAAGGGAGUAGGCCGGGCAACUGGCGCGAGGGUUCAAAUCCCUCUUUCUCCG